rnacentral:pre_miRNA from 2 species
GUACAAAUCACCUGGAGGCUUGCUAAAAUGCAGAUUCUGAUUAAGUGGUCCAGGGCUAGGCUUGAAAUUAUGCAUUUUUAACAAGCUUCCAGGUGAUUCAAAU